GACGAACGCUGGCGGCGUGCCUAAUACAUGCAAGUCGAGCGCAGGAAGCCGACGGAACCCUUCGGGGGGAAGUCGACGGAAUGAGCGGCGGACGGGUGAGUAACACGUAAAGAACCUGCCCUCAGGUCUGGGAUAACCACGAGAAAUCGGGGCUAAUACCGGAUGGGUCAUCGGACCGCAUGGUCCGAGGAUGAAAGGCGCUUCGGCGUCGCCUGGGGAUGGCUUUGCGGUGCAUUAGCUAGUUGGUGGGGUAAUGGCCCACCAAGGCGACGAUGCGUAGCCGACCUGAGAGGGUGAUCGGCCACACUGGGACUGAGACACGGCCCAGACUCCUACGGGAGGCAGCAGUAGGGAAUCUUCCACAAUGGACGAAAGUCUGAUGGAGCAACGCCGCGUGAACGAUGAGGCCUUCGGGUCGUAAAGUUCUGUUGUAAGGGAAGAACAAGUGCCGCAGGCAAUGGCGGCACCUUGACGGUACCUUGCGAGAAAGCCACGGCUAACUACGUGCCAGCCGCCGCGGUAAUAC
rnacentral:rRNA from 1 species